rnacentral:rRNA from 1 species
UACGUAGGGUGCAAGCGUUGCUCGGAAUUACUGGGCGUAAAGCGCACGUAGGCGGAUUGUUAAGUCGGGGGUGAAAUCGCUCGGCUCAACUGGGCGGGGUCCAUGGAAACUGGUCAGCUGGAGGACGGUAGAGGUGAGUGGAAUUCCCGGUGUAGUGGUGAAAUGCGUAGAGAUCGGGAGGAACACCCGUGGCGAAGGCGGCUCACUGGGCCGGUCCUGACGCUGAGACGCGAAGGCGUGGGGAGCGAACGGG